GCCGGCUUCACAACCAGGCUUGUGGAUCUGCCGAAUACAUACGCCGGCGAAGGCAAGACGCAUAUCGUCACACAUGUACCUACUGUACACACCACUACUGGCUGCAACCCUACUGCAUGCCAGCCGUCCUUGCGCCUGUGCGCGCGGCAUCGCCGGUUGUAGCCACCGGCCGCCUGCGGCGACUGCCAGGACCUCUCAUGCGAAUCGGCGUGACGGCCCUGGAAUCACCGAGCCGUGGCUCAUCCCGCAAGGAACUCUUCGGCAAUAGCGCAGACACAGACACAUCGGCGCGCGCCUCCCAGGACCUCUCAUGCCAGUGCGCUGCCAUAAGUGGCGUUCUGCUGGUCCACCAGUACGUCUUCGACGCGGCCAACGCCAUGCCGCCGGGCUGGAGGUCAGGAUCAGGAUUCAAGCGGCGGUUCAUGUGCGCGCGGCCUGACAACAAGGUCGACGACCCAAUGAUGUGCUCGACGUGUUGCUGUUGCGGCGGCGCAGCCACAGCCUGCCUGGGCAUAGGUGUGGGCGAGUGAACUGAACCGGCCGGGCUCCUUGACCGCUGACGACAUGGACUGGUGCUGCGUUACGCUGCUCCUUCUCUAAUGGCCUUUCACGCCGGUAUUUGAGGUAGGUAUGCCGGAACGCGGCAACAAUGCCGCGGUGGUGCUCGGCGGCGUUGCGGGCGAGGUAGCACGCGAGCAGCUCCUCGAGACCCGCGGUAACGCCAAGACGUCGUCGUUCGUCGCAAUCAUCUCGGCCAUGAUGCUCGCCGGGAAGUCAUCCUCCGGGUCUACCGACUCCUUCACCACCACGAGGCUAUCCUACAGCCAGGGCCGAUGCCUCACUCGUCACCACGAGGCUAUCCUACAGUCUGUGCUUCUGUCUGUGUCCUCCCCUUCAGCCAGCCGCACGGCUUCAUGUGUAGCCACCAUCACCGCACCCUGGCCGUCAUCGACAACGCCGAUGGUACGAAUUAUCGACAGGCAAAUCUUCAUGUGACGAAGACACAGUUCCUGCACAAAACAAGAAAACAAACACGGAACACUCAAUAAUCACGCAAGAAAAGAAAAAAAAUAAUGCAGAUGCAAACUGCUAGACCAAACUAACCACGAUCUGCAUGGCGAGCAGAACGACGACCGGCAUGCAAGCCCGGAGCGAUGAGUGAACGUCGGACAGCUGAUCAUCGUCGCACCCCUCCCUUAUUAAUGCAGCAGAACCUCGAGCGGCAGGACGCACUGAAAACCACCAGAAAAUAAAGAUGAAAGAGAGACAAACCAGAUCGUGCACAGGCAGCAGAAAACUGAGCCGAAGAACCACCAGCCCCACGCAAUGAGCAUCGGUGACUCGAGGCUCUGCCGUAGACGCCGACGCAGCACCACGACGACCAACCACAGAACCCCGCACCCGAGGAGGUAGCCGAGGGUCUGCCGUAGACGCCGCCGAAGCACCAGGGCGACCAACCACAGAACCCCGCACCCGAGGAGGUCGACCCGGACGGCGAGGACCAUUACGGCUAGAAAAUGGAGCAACCAUCUAACCAACAUACGUGGGAAGAAGAAAAGAUAACGCAGCACACAACUACGUCAGCCACCGGAGGCUCUGCCGUAGACGAACCACCACGACGGCCAAAACAGACCCCCGCACCCGAGGAGGUCGACCGGAACGCCGAGGACCAUUAUGACUACGGAAUGGACGAACCAUUGGUGCUGUAGUGUAGCAAACGCAAGUGAGAAAGACUAAACAGAACGCAUCACACAACUGCAAAGCCACAACACAAAAGGCAAGUAGAAAAAUCCAAACCAAACACAAACCAUCUAGAAAGAAGGACUUAAGCGGCACCGAUUACACCAAGGCCAUGCAAGAGGACAGCACACACCAUGAACCUCAUGCACGAAGACACGCACUGUGGAAACUACCGUACAGGUCAAUCUGAAGCCAGAAAGCGAUCCGGCCAACAGCGGCAAAGAUUGACAGCGACCAAUCAUAACACCGAAGAAGCCUCGAAGCGAAAAGGACUGUCAAGAGACGAACUUCACCACAGAAACUAACCCACACGCAAUGGAAAAUACUAAACCAACCAAACCAACCUGCACACACGUUCAAAAAAUUUCAAAUGAAAACUUGUGCACACAACUCAUUUCUACACAGCCAGGUACCAAACUAAUACAUGUGCCAUAUAGAAACUUACCCAAGAGUCAUUUUCAGCCAAGUGGGUGAAUAUUGGAGCGAAAACGCUCCGGGAAAUAGAGGCUUGGGUAUAACAAUGCUUUUGUUACGGAAUCUUUUCUUCUCUAAGUUUCUGCAACAAAAAACCUUGUUAUAAAAAUUUCUUUUUUAAUUUUCUGCAACAAGGCCUUUGUUGCAAAAUAUUCUCUUCUUUAAUUUAUUGCAACAAGACCUCUGUUGCAAAAAAAAAANNNNNNNNNNUUUUUUUUUGUCAAAUGAUCUUUGUCCGCCAUACAGGAUUAGUUGCUGCAAAGCACUUGUUGGGCAUGAAUUUUGGGUUGAUGUGACCACGUGCAUGGGAGUAGGAGAUGAUGUGUCUACACGCAUAUGAAUUGGAGAUCAUUUUGUUCUCUCGUUGUUUGGUCUAUAGGCAUUUUCCUUUUGUUUUUCAUGCUUGCAUGCGAGCAAGUAUUCGGCAUUGACACGCAGCUUUUGAGAGUCAUACACACCGUCCAUCCCAUAACUCACGCAUAAGGGCAUCUCCAGCCGUUCGGCCCCCCAGGGCGUCUAAAUAGAGCGGCCUGGGGGCGUGCCGGCGCUAGUUCGGCCCCUGGGGGCGACCUAGCUCCCAGUCACGCCCCCACGCGCCGGCCUCAAGAUGCGGGAAAUUUAAACUUGGUCGUUCCCACUUUCAAAAGACGCCGCAAAUCCGGCGAUCGGACGUAGUCUGGCGUUACAAAAAACAGAGCGCCGCCGCCGCAAGUUCGUGUGCGCAACGAUUCACUUGGCGGGGUCGGCUCCAGGCAUUGGCGGAGUCGGCGUGCGCGGGCUCGUCGGUGUCGGAGCUGCUUCGGUGCUGGGCUGCGUCGGCGCGGCUUCGGUACUGCUGGGCGGCGAUGUAGAGGCGUCGUUCGGGCUUGGCGUCCGUGUGGUCGUGGGCGUCGUCGGCGUCGUCGGCGUUGCCGUCGGCGGCUCGUUCAGGAUGAGGCCGCGCUGCACCAGGUACCACGCCUUGAGCUUCUCGUCGUUGCUCUGGAGCAUGUUCGCCCCGCCCAUCAGAAAAGCCAUGUCGGUGUUCCUCUUCUUCGCGGCGACGUUCGUCCGGAGCAGGUCGAGCUUGAUGGCGUUGUUCUUCAUUAGCGACGACCACCGCGCCUCGGUCUUCUCUUUGCGUAGGACGGCCCGGGCCUCGGCGUCGGCGAGGCAAUGCUCGAUGGACUCCUGCACUCGCGCGGUUGCCGCGUCGGCGCUUUUCUUCUUCUUUCCCAAUUUGUGGCCGUCCGGCCGCCCCUCUGACGCUGGCGAACGGCGAACGACGUGCGUACCUGAUCCUCAACGUUGGCGCCGCUCUCCGGGCGAGCCACGGCCUCCUCGACGAUUUCAUGCCAUUUGUUGCACGCGUAGGCGGCGGGCGGCGAGUAGUUGUAUGGAGGGUACUGCACGCCGACAAAGACGGGCGAGGGCGUGCACGUAGCGGGGUGACCAUGAGGAAAGGUCACGUUUGGGUUGAAUCCACUGUGCGCGUCGCCGUCGGCGUAGCCGGGCGACGAUGAACCCCAUGAAGAUCCGGCGCCUUGCUGUCCCCAAGGCGCGUACUGGGCGUGGCUGACGACGGGUGGAUUCAUCCCCGCCUGGUCGACCGAUGAGGAAGACGCCGCCGCGCGCGCCGCGUUGUCGCAGGCCUUCUUGGCUAUGGCCCUUUUCUGCCUGUCGGCGGUGACUGCUUCGCGCCGCUGAACUUCCACCCUCCACUCGGCGUUCGACAGGCCCGGUGGCUUCGAUGGCGGCGCCCUCGGCUUCCUCUGCUUCGGCUGGGCCACGGCCCCAGUCGCGAUUGCCGCCGCACGCGGCAUGGCGUACUUCUUCGACGGCAUGGCGUACUUCUUCGCGGCGAGCGGGAGGGGGUUUGACGGGAGAAAGGAAGAGAAUGGGGGAGGAAGGCGAGCGAGCGGGAGAGAUGCGAGGAAAAAGCGUCAAGAAACGGCGGGAAAAGGCCCUCGGCUCGCCUCCUGAGCGGGCCCACACGCCUUUUUCGCUUGUGCCGGCUCCCCAAGCGCCCCCCAGGGCGCCGGGUUCAGGCUGGGUCCGCCGGCACCAGUUUUCGCCCGAGCCGGCGAAAAACGGGCUUCUGGGGGCGCGACUGGGGCAUUUUUCUUUUGCGCCGGCGCGGCAAAAUCGCCUAAGGAGGGCGUGUUGGGGGCGCGGCUGGAGAUGCCCUAAGCCGGCUUCACAACCAGGCUUGUGGAUCUGCCGAAUACAUACGCCGGCGAAGGCAAGACGCAUAUCGUCACACAUGUACCUACUGUACACACCACUACUGGCUGCAACCCUACUGCAUGCCAGCCGUCCUUGCGCCUGUGCGCGCGGCAUCGCCGGUUGUAGCCACCGGCCGCCUGCGGCGACUGCCAGGACCUCUCAUGCGAAUCGGCGUGACGGCCCUGGAAUCACCGAGCCGUGGCUCAUCCCGCAAGGAACUCUUCGGCAAUAGCGCAGACACAGACACAUCGGCGCGCGCCUCCCAGGACCUCUCAUGCCAGUGCGCUGCCAUAAGUGGCGUUCUGCUGGUCCACCAGUACGUCUUCGACGCGGCCAACGCCAUGCCGCCGGGCUGGAGGUCAGGAUCAGG
rnacentral:lncRNA from 1 species